CACCGAUCUGGGACGCGAGCCCGCCGCGGCUCGGUGGCAGGCUGCCAGACUGAGCUCUGCUCCUUUCUGCAGGAGGCACGAGCGGAUCACGAUAAAGGAACAAGUGAGGACAACAAUGAGAAUGCUGGCUUCCUGGUGUGGAAAUAAUGAGAAGAAACUGGCCUGCACCAAACAGCCAGGCCUCACCUACCGAGGAGAUGAAGUGUUGGGGUGCAUCUGAGCAGCUGUACUACAGAAUCACCUGUAAGGGAGUGGG